UACGUAGGGCGCAAGCGUUAUCCGGAAUUAUUGGGCGUAAAGAGCUCGUAGGCGGUUUGUCGCGUCUGCCGUGAAAGUCCGGGGCUCAACUCCGGAUCUGCGGUGGGUACGGGCAGACUAGAGUGAUGUAGGGGAGACUGGAAUUCCUGGUGUAGCGGUGAAAUGCGCAGAUAUCGAGAGGAACACCAGAGGUGAAGACGGGUUGCUGGGCCGACACUGACGCUGACAGCGCGAAAGCCAGGGGAGCAAACGGG
rnacentral:rRNA from 1 species